GCUAAAAGAAUGGAAGUUUAAGAAAAAACUUUUUUAAAAAUAAAAAUUAAAUUUUUUUUAAUUUGUGCAAAACCAAUUAUUUAUAUUAAAGACAAGAAGACCCUAUGAAUUUAUGAUUAAAUAAACUAAAAAUUUUUAGUUUAUUUAAUCUUGAUUGGGGCAAUCAAAAAAUAUUA
rnacentral:rRNA from 1 species